rnacentral:rRNA from 1 species
UACCAGCACCCCGAGUGGUCGGGACGAUUAUUGGGCCUAAAGCAUCCGUAGCCGGUUCUGCAAGUCCCCGUUAAAUCCAGCUGCUCAACAGAUGGGCCGCGGAGGAUACUACAGAGCUAGGAGGCAGGAGAGGCAAGCGGUACUCAGUGGGUAGGGUAAAAUCCGUUGAUCCAUUGAAGACCACCAGUGGCGAAGGCGGCAUCCUGGACCGGCAUUGACGCUGAGGAGCGAAAGCCAGGGGAGCAAACGGG